rnacentral:misc_RNA from 1 species
UCCGUAGGUGAACCUGCGGAAGGAUCAUUAAUGUAACCGAGCAACGCUGUAAGCUUACAGCGGGUUUAUUGCUAACACUAGGCUGCUGCUAACACAGUGGUUCUAUUCUAGUGUUUGUAGUAGAUUGCGAGGGAGAUAUUAUACACCCUAUGAUUAGCUUACUUUUGUUGCUUUGGUGGGCCGUCUAUUUCGGCAUCGGCUCCGGCUGAUUGCGCCCGCCAGAGGAUCUAAACUCUUUUAUUAGUGAUGUCUGAGAAUUAUAUAAUAGUUAAAACUUUCAACAACGGAUCUCUUGGUUCUGGCAUCGAUGAAGAACGCAGCGAAAUGCGAUAAGUAAUGUGAAUUGCAGAAUUCAGUGAAUCAUCGAAUCUUUGAACGCACAUUGCGCCCGCUGGUACUCCGGCGGGCAUGCUUGUUCGAGCGUCACUAUAACCAAUCAAGCUCUGCUUGGCGUUGGGGCCCGCUAUUCCGGCGACCCUUAAAAUUAGUGGCGGUGCCGUCUGGCUCUAAGCGUAGUAAUUCUCCUCGCUAUAGAGUUUUGAUGCUCACCUGCCAGACCUUAAUUUUCAAGGUUGACCUCGGAUCAAGUAGGGAUAUCCGCUGACUUA